rnacentral:rRNA from 1 species
GACGAACGCUGGCGGCGUGCUUAACACAUGCAAGUCGAACGGAAAGGCCCUGCUUUUGUGGGGUGCUCGAGUGGCGAACGGGUGAGUAACACGUGAGUAACCUGCCCUUGACUUUGGGAUAACUUCAGGAAACUGGGGCUAAUACCGGAUAGGAGCUCCUGCUGCAUGGUGGGGGUUGGAAAGUUUCGGCGGUUGGGGAUGGACUCGCGGCUUAUCAGCUUGUUGGUGGGGUAGUGGCUUACCAAGGCUUUGACGGGUAGCCGGCCUGAGAGGGUGACCGGCCACAUUGGGACUGGGGUACGGCCCGGACUCCUACGGGGGGCAGCGGUGGGGAAUAUUGCACAAUGGGCGGAGGCCUGAUGCAGCAACGCCGCGUGCGGGAUGACGGCCUUCGGGUUGUAAACGGCUUUCGCCUGUGACGAAGCGUGAGUGACGGUAAUGGGUAAAGAAGCACCGGCUAACUACGU